rnacentral:rRNA from 1 species
AUGUACAUUCCUACAACAUAAUGCUAAUGCACCAGAUCCCAUUAGAACUCCGCAAUUAAGCACACUCAGGAUAGAGUGGUACUAGGAUGGGUGACUGCCUCAAAAGUCCUAGUGUUUUACAUG